GACGAACGCUGGCGGCGUGCUUAACACAUGCAAGUCGAGCGGUAAGGCCCUUUCGGGGGUACGACGAGCGGCGAACGGGUGAGUAACACGUGGGUGACCUGCCCUCAGCUCUGGGAUAAGCCUGGGAAACCGGGUCUAAUACUGGAUAUGACUCCAUGACGCAUGUUGUGGGGUGGAAAGCCUUGUGCGGCUGAGGAUGGGGCCCGCGGCCUAUCAGCUUGUUGGUGGGGUGANGGCCUACCAAGGCGACGACGGGUAGCCGGCCUGAGAGGGCGACCGGCCACACUGGGACUGAGACACGGCCCAGACUCCUACGGGAGGCAGCAGUGGGGAAUCUUGCGCAAUGGGCGAAAGCCUGACGCAGCGGCGCCGCGUGAGGGAUGACGGCCU
rnacentral:rRNA from 1 species